GGUCCUGUGGUCUAACGGUCAUGACUGCGGAUUUUGAAGGGCCCUUGAGGAGUCCAGAGUAUUCCGCCAGCGGGGGUUCGACUCCCCCCAGGACCU